rnacentral:misc_RNA from 1 species
GAUGAAGAACGUAGCGAAAUGCGAUACGUAAUGUGAAUUGCAAAUUCAGUGAAUCAUCGAGUCUUUGAACGCACAUUGCGCCCCCUGGUAUUCCGGGGGGCAUGCCUGUCCGAGCGUCAUUGCUGCCCUCAAGCACGGCUUGUGUGUUGGGCCCCGUCCUCCGAUCCCGGGGGACGGGCCCGAAAGGCAGCGGCGGCACCGCGUCCGGUCCUCGAGCGUACGGGGCUUUGUCACCCGCUCUGUAGGCCCGGCCGGCGCUUGCCGAUCAACCCAAAUUUUUUAUCCAGGUUGACCUCGGAUCAGGUAGGGAUACCCGCUGAACUUAAGCAUAUCAUAAGCGGAGGA